CUAGAAUUGCAUCUAACUGGAAGUGGAGGAGGGAAGAUGCAUCAUUCCUCUCCCUGUUUCAGAGGAGCAGGUGCUGAGAGAGGAAGGGAGAUGGUGGACCAGGUCUGUGGGGAUUUCUCCUGGAUGCAGAUUCUGUUUUUCUAAUGUGUGCAUUUGGACUUCUUUGCAACUCUUCAUGGUAAUGCCCCUCCCCACAGAUUAUAAAAGGAAUUAAGAUCCUGCAGAAUGCAAUAAUACAACAAGAUGAGCGACUGGCCAAAGCAAUGGUCAGUGAUGGUUCCUUUCAUAUUACCCUGCUGGUGAUGCAAUUAUUAAAUGAAGAUGAAGUAAACAUAGACUGCAAAUAGGACAUUUCAAGAAAAAGGCAUCCUGGUAGGAGAGAGCAGAAGUUUUAAGCCUCAUUUGACCUUCAUGAAGUUGUCAAAAUCACUGUGGCUCCGUAAGAAUGGAGUGAAAAAAAUAGAUCCUGAUUUAUAUGAAAAGUUUAUCAGUCACAGAUUUGGAGAAGAAAUAUUAUAUCGCAUAGAUCUUUGCUCCAUGCUGAAGAAAAAGCAAAGUAAUGGUUAUUAUCACUGUGAAUCUUCCAUUGUGAUUGGCAAGAAACCUAUUGGAAUUCGAGACUUAAUUAAUGAAGCUUUGCAUCGAGAAACGAUGGGUCUGAAGUCCAAAGUGAAACAGAUAAAGGAACUUUUAUUAAAGCCUGAGACUCAGGCCAAAAUUAGGAGGGAGCUUUUUGAAGGAAGACUUAUUAACAACAGUAAUUCAGCAAAUGACGUUGAUUUCAGCACAACUUUGACAUAAGCUCUACAUUGCGAUUGUGACAACAUAGCUUAUGAAAUCUUUUCAGCUUAUUAAGUAGCUCUUUGGUAAACACCAAAGAAGUUUCUGAUAGUGUCUGCACAACAGCAAACCAACAUUUGGUGAGGAAUUAGCAAUUUCUUGCCAAAGAAAAUUGAUUCUGCCCAAUUAUUUUUUGAGCUACACUUGUGUUUUAGCAUGUCUGUUUCUGUAAUAUUGAGAGUUAUUUUAUAGAAAUGAUUU
rnacentral:sRNA from 1 species